rnacentral:lncRNA from 12 species
AAUGCUCUGGAGAGCAGAGAGAAAAUGGUGGAUUUAGCACACAUGAAUAGCUAAAUUCUACAAGUUUUUUACAAGGCUUUUUUCUUUCUUUUUUGAUGAUAAGUCUCGAUAUUAAGAAAGAAAAAAAGAAAGAAAAGAAAGAAAGAAGAAAGAAAGAAAGAAAGAAAGAAAGAAAGAAAGAAGAAAGAAAAGGAAAAGCAAGGCAGAAAGAGAAAGGUAACAAAAAAAGUAAAGUAGGGAGGAAGUGAUGGAAGGAAGAAAACUGAAAAAUAAUUUAUUCUAAACAAAUAUCCUUAGUAGCAAGAAAGACCUGCCUACAGAGUGGAAACUGAGAGAGAGAGGUUUGAUUCUCUAUGAUUUUACCCUCUUGCAUUUUAUGAAGAUUGAUAGAAGAGUUUAUUCUGUGACUCUGGAUUUCUUCUAUUGGCACAUUGGGAUGAAUAUUAUUAUAAGGGGAAGAUCAAAUUCUCUUAGAAGAUGGCAUUUCCAGCUUACCAUUCAAAGAAAUUCCAUCCUCUGCCUUUUUGGAAAUAUCAAGAAAAUACCGUCAUUGAGGUUGUGGAGAGUCUGCAGGUUGAACACAAGUUGUGCUUGACUAGCCAGUUGUGCUUGAGCUGUGGUUCAACUGGGCUUGACUCUAGGAUGCUUGUUGGAUUCAGUUAUGUUCCAUAUGUGUUUAUUCCAUGGCCAAGGCUAAGACUCAAUAGCUAUCUGGAUUGUGUUCUUCUCUUGAUGGGUCACUGAAACACCAUGCUAAGCCAAAAGUCAUAAGCACAUUUAAACCUUCUGUUUACAUCACAUCUGCUAAAAUUCCAUUGGUCAAAGCAAGUCACAUGGCAACCUCAACACAAUGUGGUAGGAUGAAUUUCACCCACUGCAGAACAGGUAAGGAAGUGUAUAUUUGACAAACAAUAAUUUUAACUAUCACACUAUAAUAAGAAAGCUAUAUUAAUUU